UAGGGAAUCUUCCACAAUGGACGAAAGUCUGAUGGAGCAACGCCGCGUGAGUGAAGAAGGUUUUCGGAUCGUAAAACUCUGUUGUUGGAGAAGAACGUAUUUGAUAGUAACUGAUCAGGUAGUGACGGUAUCCAACCAGAAAGCCACGGCUAACUACGUGCCAG
rnacentral:rRNA from 1 species